ensembl:snRNA U6 U6 spliceosomal RNA
GUACUCGCUUUGGCAGCACGUAUACUGAAAUUGGAAUGAUAGAAGAUUAGCAUGGCCCUUGUGCAAGGAUGACAUGCAAAUUUGUGCAGCAUUCCAUAUUUUG